CAAACUACUCUCUCUAAAUUCAAUAAUCUAUUUUGUUCGAUAAAUAUUUAUUUUAUCAGUAGAUAAUUGGUAUAAAGAUUGAUAGGGUAAUACACUUUCCAUUUCACAAAAAGAGACCUAGAACAAGCGGAAAAAAUUCAGAAAGAAGAGAUUCAAAGGCCUUAGGGGAUUCAAGCUUGGAUUUGAGGUAGGUGAUGAUUGUGAUUUCAUGAUUAUAUGAUAUAUGUUUGUUCUUGAUUCAUUAUGAUGCAUGUAUAUAUGGAGAUGUUUCAUUAUUGAUCACAUUAAUUGUAAUGAGAUAGACGAAUGAAUAUAUGUCAUGAAUCACUCUUGAUUGUAUGACUUGAAAGUAUACUUGUGAUUGUGGUGUGUUGAUGGAUCUGAUUGCCACGUUCCAGCAUAAUUAUCUUGGAUCCAAUUGCCACGUUCUAACAUAACUAACAUGGAUCGGAUCCCCACGUCUCGGCAUAAAUAUGGGAUCGAUUGUCACGUCUGGCAUAAACAUGGGAUCGGGUACCACGUUUCGGUGCACUAACAGUUUGAGUUCGGGUUUCAUGAGAGGACCAUUGAAAUGAGUUCCAUAAGAGGACCAACUACUUGAUAUAAAUGUGUAUUGUUGAAAGCAUGUGAUAUUCAAUAUUGUAUAUGUCCGAUGUGUGCAUGUUUAUGAUGUUGUAAUGACUUAUAUAUGUUUCACUUAGUGGGAUACUCGUGUGAUCCUAUCAGUAGCAGGUGGUUGUGUACUGAUACUGCACUUGCUCUUAUUUUUGUUGAGUAUAAUACAUCUUACGGCGGCUAUUGAUAGACCUCA